UUAUUAAAGAAUUUCGGUAACCGAUGGGGAUGCGUUCCAUUAGUUUGUUGGCGGGGUAACGGCCCACCAAGACAUCGAUGGAUAGGGGUUCUGAGAGGAAGGUCCCCCACAUUGGAACUGAGACACGGUCCAAACUCCUACGGGAGGCAGCAGUGAGGAAUAUUGGUCAAUGGACGAGAGUCUGAACCAGCCAAGUAGCGUGAAGGAUGACUGCCCUAUGGGUUGUAAACUUCUUUUAUAUGGGAAUAAAGUGAGCCACGUGUGGCUUUUUGUAUGUACCAUACGAAUAAGGAUCGGCUAACUCCGUGCCAGCAGCCGCGGUAAUACGGAGGAUCCGAGCGUUAUCCGGAUUUAUUGGGUUUAAAGGGAGCGUAGGCGGACUAUUAAGUCAGCUGUGAAAGUUUGCGGCUCAACCGUAAAAUUGCAGUUGAUACUGGUCGUCUUGAGUGCAGUAGAGGUAGGCGGAAUUCGUGGUGUAGCGGUGAAAUGCUUAGAUAUCACGAAGAACUCCGAUUGCGAAGGCAGCUUACUGGACUGUAACUGACGCUGAUGCUCGAAAGUGUGGGUAUCAAACAGGAUUAGAUACCCUGGUAGUCCACACAGUAAACGA
rnacentral:rRNA from 1 species